UCUCAUAUCAUCUUUUCUCCAUUUGCUUCUCCUUAUCCUUGUUGCUGUUUACGACAUAAGGAAAAGGAGAACAAUCAACCGGAAGCCGAAGUCGAACCUCCAAUCCAGGUUGCUUGCUUGGAAGUCAGAUUGCUUACCUUGUUUGUUACCUCUUUCGGCAAAUCUCCUAGCUCGGCGACUUGGGGGACUUCUACUAUAGGGUUUUGUAUCGCACUUGACCAAGCCCGAAACUACAAGUAAGCUUCAAGUGAAAUUGAUACAUUACCUUGUGCAUCUUCAUCGGUUAAAGAUACCACA
rnacentral:lncRNA from 1 species